GGUUCGUGGAAGGUCUCGUGCGGGCGCAGGUAGUGGUGUCCGUAGACGUACCGCUCCCGCGUGUGCUUGUGCUUCCACAGCCUCUCCACUCUGAAGAUGUCCAGCUCCGAGACCGGCACGGCUCCUAUCGUCUGAGAUGGCAGUAGUGUUGCUGCGCGGUGUCGGUGACCCGCAUGCAGCGCGCGUGCUGCCACACGCCGCAGCGCGCCGCGCCGCACUGCACCAUGAGCCCCUCCUCCACGUGCAGACCGCAGAUGCACAUUAUCACCUCCUCUGUCAUUAACAAUAUUGGUUAACACAUUAUAUCCAUACAAAUUUAUUACAGCAAGUGUUUACGACUAUUUCCUGACAUUAAAAUUCUAAAUCUAUAUCUAUAUAUAUAAAAAUGGUGGCUAAUUUUGGUCUUUAAUUAUUUGUGGAAGUCCAGAGAAGGUAGAUAAAUAUGAAAAUGCUCGGAAUUAAAUAAAAAUAACAA